rnacentral:rRNA from 1 species
CAAGGUUGACCUCGGAUCAGGUAGGGAUACCCGCUGAACUUAAGCAUAUCAAUAAC